GAAUCUUUGUAUACCUUGUAAUAAACACAAUGAAAAAAAAAAUGAAUUUAUUUGUUGUCAUCUGGAACUUGCGUCACGUUGCUUUGAACAGAGGGAUUUUUAUCAUUGAGGAAGAUUUCUUGGAAUAGGUAAAUGGAACCGCAAGACUGGUUUAGCUCUAUGUGUACAUUGUGUGUGCAACAUUCAAACAGUAUACGUUACUCGAUCAUCCGCUUUGCUAGUCGUGUUUUUUACAAUCGUGAAGUCGAUUUUGUUUUUUGUUUUUUUGCGAAAAAUGUCCUCUAAAAGUGAAAGAGACAAUUCGAAUGACGGAGGCAAAAAUCGAUACGACAGAGAAGAUCAUUUGCCAGAGUGUUCCGAAACGAGUUCAGAAUGUGCGCUAGAGACAUGUGACAAAAAGUCGACGAUUUAUUGUGUAAAGUGUAAUGUUUAUUUGUGUUUCAAUAAACACCGAAACUGUUUCUAUGAGUAUCAUCAUAAGUGAAAGCCGUUGUGCUGAAAGAUUUCAUUGAUGGCGGAGAAUUAUUUCGUCAAUAAAUAAUAAUUUUGAUGCGCUAA